rnacentral:rRNA from 1 species
AACGCGAAGAACCUUACCUGGGCUCGAAAUGGAGUGGACCGGGGUAGAAAUAUCCCUUCCCCGCAAGGGGCCGCUUUAUAGGUGCUGCAUGGCUGUCGUCAGCUCGUGUCGUGAGAUGUUGGGUUAAGUCCCGCAACGAGCGCAACCCUUAUCCCCAGUUGCCAUCAUUUAGUUGGGCACUCUGGUGAAACCGCCUCGGAUAACGGGGAGGAAGGUGGGGAUGACGUCAAGUCCUCAUGGCCUUUAUGUCCAGGGCUACACACGUGCUACAAUGGCCGGUACAAACCGUCGCAAACCCGCGAGGGGGAGCUAAUCGGAAAAAGCCGGCCUCAGUUCGGAUUGCAGUCUGCAACUCGACUGCAUGAAGCUGGAAUCGCUAGUAAUCGCGGAUCAGAACGCCGCGGUGAAUACGUUCCCGGGCCUUGUA